AUACUCUGGUUUCUCUUCAGGCCAAAUAAAUCUUUCACCUUUUACUAAAGAUUUCCACGGAGAGGAAUAGCAGAAGUUGUACAAGGCUGAUACAAAAUUCAUAAUAUAAUAACAAACUGGGGUUUGUG
rfam:Colinus virginianus strain Texas jcf7180006227023, whole genome shotgun sequence.